GCUUGAUUUGGCAACAUAUACUCAAACUGGAACAAUUUAGAGAGGACUGGCCUGGCCCCAGUGCAAGAAUGACUUAAAAAUUUAUAAAGCAUUCCAUAUUUUU